UGUGUGUGUGUGUGUCUUUGUUUAAUUUGUAACAAAGCCUUACAAACAGGUGCAAACAGUAAAUCCCUCUUUUGCAACACAGAACUCAUUGUUGAGUAUGAGAUUUUGGUAAAUGUAAGAAUGAAUAUG
ensembl:snoRNA